rnacentral:rRNA from 1 species
GUGGGGAAUCUUAGACAAUGGGCGCAAGCCUGAUCUAGCCAUGCCGCGUGAGCGAUGAAGGCCUUAGGGUUGUAAAGCUCUUUCAGUGGGGAAGAUAAUGACUGUACCCACAGAAGAAGCCCCGGCUAACUCCGUGCCAGCAGCCGCGGUAAUACGGAGGGGGCUAGCGUUGUUCGGAAUUACUGGGCGUAAAGCGCACGUAGGCGGACUGGAAUGUCAGGGGUGAAAUCCCGGGGCUCAACCCCGGAACUGCCUUUGAAACUCCCAUUAUUGAGGUCGAGAGAGGUGAGUGGAAUUCCGAGUGUAGAGGUGAAAUUCGUAGAUAUUCGGAGGAACACCAGUGGCGAAGGCGGCUCACUGGCUCGAUACUGACGCUGAGGUGCGAAAGCGUGGGGAGCAAACAGGAUUAGAAACCCGAGUAGUCC